GACGAACGCUGGCGGCGUGCCUAAUACAUGCAAGUCGAACGAAACUUUCUUACACCGAAUGCUUGCAUUCACCGUAAGAAGUUGAGUGGCGGACGGGUGAGUAACACGUGGGUAACCUGCCUAAAAGAAGGGGAUAACACUUGGAAACAGGUGCUAAUACCGUAUAUCUCUAAGGAUCGCAUGAUCCUUAGAUGAAAGAUGGUUCUGCUAUCGCUUUUAGAUGGACCCGCGGCGUAUUAACUAGUUGGUGGGGUAAUGGCCUACCAAGGUGAUGAUACGUAGCCGAACUGAGAGGUUGAUCGGCCACAUUGGGACUGAGACACGGCCCAAACUCCUACGGGAGGCAGCAGUAGGGAAUCUUCCACAAUGGACGCAAGUCUGAUGGAGCAACACCGCGUGAGUGAAGAAGGUCUUCGGAUCGUAAAACUCUGUUGUUAGAGAAGAACACGAGUGAGAGUAACUGUUCAUUCGAUGACGGUAUCUAACCAGCAAGUCACGGCUAACUACGUGCCAGCAGCCGCAGUAAAAC
rnacentral:rRNA from 1 species